AAGGGAGGUCAAGAGACACCAAAUUGGUAAGAUUUGAGAUGUCAGAUGGGAUUUGGCCCUCAAAUUGAUUCCCAGAAAGAUCAAGAGAAACCAAACCUAUGAGCUGUGAUAUUUGUGAUGGGAUUCGUCCUGGAAAAGAGUUAUAGGAGAGAUUGAGAAUUUGAAGGUGAUGAAGAUGGAAGAGGCUGCUAUUGGAAUGGAUGGAACCGUAGAGUGAU